rnacentral:rRNA from 1 species
CGUAGGUCCCGAGCGUUGUCCGGAUUUAUUGGGGCGUAAAGCGAGCGCAGGCGGUUAGAUAAGUCUGAAGUGAAAGGCAGUGGCUCAACCAUUGUAGGCUUUGGAAACUGUUUAACUUGAGUGCAGAAGGGGAGAGUGGAAUUCCAUGUGUAGCGGUGAAAUGCGUAGAUAUAUGGAGGAACACCGGUGGCGAAAGCGGCUCUCUGGUCUGUAACUGACGCUGAGGCUCGAAAGCGUGGGGGAGGCGAACAGGAUU